GAAGAAGGGUUUCGGCUCGUAAAACUCUGUUGUUAAAGAAGAACAUAUCUGAGAGUAACUGUUCAGGUAUUGACGGUAUUUAACCAGAAAGCCACGGCUAACUACGUGCCAGCAGCCGCGGUAAUACGUAGGUGGCAAGCGUUGUCCGGAUUUAUUGGGCGUAAAGCGAGCGCAGGCGGUUUUUUAAGUCUGAUGUGAAAGCCUUCGGCUCAACCGAAGAAGUGCAUCGGAAACUGGGAAACUUGAGUGCAGAAGAGGACAGUGGAACUCCAUGUGUAGCGGUGAAAUGCGUAGAUAUAUGGAAGAACACCAGUGGCGAAGGCGGCUGUCUGGUCUGUAACUGACGCUGAGGCUCGAAAGUAUGGGUAGCAAACAGGAUUAGAUACCCUGGUAGUCCAUACCGUAAACGAUGAAUGCUAAGUGUUGGAGGGUUUCCGCCCUUCAGUGCUGCAGCUAACGCAUUAAGCAUUCCGCCUGGGGAGUACGGCCGCAAGGCUGAAACUCAAAGGAAUUGACGGGGGCCCGCACAAGCGGUGGAGCAUGUGGUUUAAUUCGAAGCUACGCGAAGAACCUUACCAGGUCUUGACAUACUAUGCAAAUCUAAGAGAUUAGACGUUCCCUUCGGGGACAUGGAUACAGGUGGUGCAUGGUUGUCGUCAGCUCGUGUCGUGAGAUGUUGGGUUAAGUCCCGCAACGAGCGCAACCCUUAUUAUCAGUUGCCAGCAUUAAGUUGGGCACUCUGGUGAGACUGCCGGUGACAAACCGGAGGAAGGUGGGGAUGACGUCAAAUCAUCAUGCCCCUUAUGACCUGGGCUACACACGUGCUACAAUGGAUGGUACAACGAGUUGCGAACUCGCGAGAGUAAGCUAAUCUCUUAAAGCCAUUCUCAGUUCGGAUUGUAGGCUGCAACUCGCCUACAUGAAGUCGGAAUCGCUAGUAAUCGCGGAUCAGCAUGCCGCGGUGAAUACGUUCCCGGGCCUUGUACACACCGCCCGUCACACCAUGAGAGUUUGUAACACCCAAAGUCGGU
rnacentral:rRNA from 2 species